GUACUUGCCUUGGCAGCACAUAUACAAAAUUGAAAUGAUACAGAAAAGAUUAGCAUCCACUGCACAAGGAUGAUCUGAAAAUUUAUGAAGCAUUCUAUAUUUUA
ensembl:snRNA U6 U6 spliceosomal RNA